rnacentral:rRNA from 1 species
GGAAAAAGAAGAGUGGCGAACGGGUGAGUAACACGUGGGUAACCUGCCCAUCAGAAGGGGAUAACACUUGGAAACAGGUGCUAAUACCGUAUAACAAUCGAAACCGCAUGGUUUUGAUUUGAAAGGCGCUUUCGGGUGUCGCUGAUGGAUGGACCCGCGGUGCAUUAGCUAGUUGGUGAGGUAACGGCUCACCAAGGCCACGAUGCAUAGCCGACCUGAGAGGGUGAUCGGCCACAUUGGGACUGAGACACGGCCCAAACUCCUACGGGAGGCAGCAGUAGGGAAUCUUCGGCAAUGGACGAAAGUCUGACCGAGCAACGCCGCGUGAGUGAAGAAGGUUUUCGGAUCGUAAAACUCUGUUGUUAGAGAAGAACAAGGAUGAGAGUAACUGUUCAUCCCUUGACGGUAUCUAACCAGAAAGCCACGGCUAACUACGUGCCAGCAGCCGCGGUAAUACGUAGGUGGCAAGCGUUGUCCGGAUUUAUUGGGCGUAAAGCGAGCGCAGGCGGUUUCUUAAGUCUGAUGUGAAAGCCCCCGGCUCAACCGGGGAGGGUCAUUGGAAACUGGGAGACUUGAGUGCAGAAGAGGAGAGUGGAAUUCCAUGUGUAGCGGUGAAAUGCGUAGAUAUAUGGAGGAACACCAGUGGCGAAGGCGGCUCUCUGGUCUGUAACUGACGCUGAGGCUCGAAAGCGUGGGGAGCAAACAGGAUUAGAUACCCUGGUAGUCCACGCCGUAAACGAUGAGUGCUAAGUGUUGGAGGGUUUCCGCCCUUCAGUGCUGCAGCUAACGCAUUAAGCACUCCGCCUGGGGAGUACGACCGCAAGGUUGAAACUCAAAGGAAUUGACGGGGGCCCGCACAAGCGGUGGAGCAUGUGGUUUAAUUCGAAGCAACGCGAAGAACCUUACCAGGUCUUGACAUCCUUUGACCACUCUAGAGAUAGAGCUUCCCCUUCGGGGGCAAAGUGACAGGUGGUGCAUGGUUGUCGUCAGCUCGUGUCGUGAGAUGUUGGGUUAAGUCCCGCAACGAGCGCAACCCUUAUUGUUAGUUGCCAUCAUUUAGUUGGGCACUCUAGCAAGACUGCCGGUGACAAACCGGAGGAAGGUGGGGAUGACGUCAAAUCAUCAUGCCCCUUAUGACCUGGGCUACACACGUGCUACAAUGGGAAGUACAACGAGUCGCGAAGUCGCGAGGCUAAGCUAAUCUCUUAAAGCUUCUCUCAGUUCGGAUUGUAGGCUGCAACUCGCCUACAUGAAGCCGGAAUCGCUAGUAAUCGCGGA